AACGAACGCUGGCGGCAUGCCUAACACAUGCAAGUCGAACGAGACCUUCGGGUCUAGUGGCGCACGGGUGCGUAACGCGUGGGAACCUGCCCUUAGGUUCGGAAUACCUCCCCGAAAGGGGUGCUGAUACCGGUUAAUGUCUUCGCACCAAAGAGUUAUCGCCUUUGGAUGGGCCCGCGUUGGAUUAGCUAGUUGGUAGGGUAAAAGCCUACCAAGGCGACGAUCCAUAGCUGGUCUGAGAGGAUGAUCAGCCACACUGGGACUGAGACACGGCCCAGACUCCUACGGGAGGCAGCAGUGGGGAAUAUUGGACGAUGGGCGAAAGCCUGAUCCAGCAAUGCCGCGUGAGUGAUGAAGGCCUUAGGGUUGUAAAGCUCUUUUACCCGGGAUGAUAAUGACAGUACCGGGAGAAUAAGCUCCGGCUAACUCCGUG
rnacentral:rRNA from 1 species